rnacentral:tRNA from 1 species
GUCUCCGUGGCGCAAUCGGUCAGCGCGUUCGGCUGUUAACCUAUAGGUUGGUGGUUCAAGUCCACCUGGAGACG